GGGUGUCCUGGGAGGGCAGGGCGCCCAGUACCUGCCGCGUACGGGCCAGGUAGUCGAGCAACUGUUCGGCACAGCUGGCGUCCA
rnacentral:tRNA from 1 species